AGUUAAUGAGCUUGAUAUAAGCAUAUGUUUUGAAAACAUAAGAUAGGGCAUAAAAUCUCUAUUAACUU
rnacentral:tRNA from 1 species